rnacentral:rRNA from 1 species
AUUGAACGCUGGCGGCAGGCCUAACACAUGCAAGUCGAACGGUAACAGGAAGCAGCUUGCUGCUUUGCUGACGAGUGGCGGACGGGUGAGUAAUGUCUGGGAAACUGCCCGAUGGAGGGGGAUAACUACUGGAAACGGUAGCUAAUACCGCAUAACGUCGCAAGACCAAAGAGGGGGACCUUAGGGCCUCUUGCCAUCGGAUGUGCCCAGAUGGGAUUAGCUAGUAGGUGGGGUAACGGCUCACCUAGGCGACGAUCCCUAGCUGGUCUGAGAGGAUGACCAGCCACACUGGAACUGAGACACGGUCCAGACUCCUACGGGAGGCAGCAGUGGGGAAUAUUGCACAAUGGGCGCAAGCCUGAUGCAGCCAUGCCGCGUGUAUGAAGAAGGCCUUCGGGUUGUAAAGUACUUUCAGCGGGGAGGACGGGAGUAAAGUUAAUACCUUUGCUCAUUGACGUUACCCGCAGAAGAAGCACCGGCUAACUCCGUG